GAUGAACGCUGGCGGCGUGCCUAAUACAUGCAAGUCGAGCGAACGGACGAGAAGCUUGCUUCUCUGAUGUUAGCGGCGGACGGGUGAGUAACACGUGGAUAACCUACCUAUAAGACUGGGAUAACUUCGGGAAACCGGAGCUAAUACCGGAUAAUAUUUUGAACCGCAUGGUUCAAUAGUGAAAGACGGUCUUGCUGUCACCUAUAGAUGGAUCCGCGCUGCAUUAGCUAGUUGGUAAGGUAACGGCUUACCAAGGCAACGAUGCAUAGCCGACCUGAGAGGGUGAUCGGCCAAAAUGGAACUGAGAAAAGGGCCAGACUCCUAAGGGAGGCAGCAGUAGGGAAUCUUCCGCAAUGGGCGAAAGCCUGACGGAGCAAAGCCGCGUGAGUGAUGAAGGUCUUCGGAUCGUAAAACUCUGUUAUUAGGGAAGAACAUAUGUGUAAGUAACUGUGCACAUCUUGACGGUACCUAAUCAGAAAGCCACGGCUAACUACGUG
rnacentral:rRNA from 1 species